rnacentral:tRNA from 1 species
GUCAGGUUGGCCGAGCGGUUAAGGCGCCAGAUUUAAGCUCUGGUUCCCGACAGGGAGCCUGGGUUCGAACCCCACACCUGACA